AGAGUUUGAUCCUGGCUCAGGAUGAACGCUAGCUACAGGCUUAACACAUGCAAGUCGCGGGGCAGCAUGGGGGUUGCUUGCAACCCCUGAUGGCGACCGGCGCACGGGUGAGUAACGCGUAUCCAACCUGCCCUUCACCACGGGAUAACCCGGCGAAAGUCGGACUAAUACCGUAUGUUGUCCAUUGACGGCAUCCGAUUUGGACGAAAGGCUUGGCGGUGAAGGAUGGGGAUGCGUCCGAUUAGCCAGACGGCGGGGUAACGGCCCACCGUGGCUACGAUCGGUAGGGGUUCUGAGAGGAAGGUCCCCCACACUGGAACUGAGACACGGUCCAGACUCCUACGGGAGGCAGCAGUGAGGAAUAUUGGUCAAUGGACGGAAGUCUGAACCAGCCAAGUAGCGUGCAGGAUGACGGCCCUAUGGGUUGUAAACUGCUUUUAUGCGGGGAUAAAGUGGCCCACGUGUGGGCUUUUGCAGGUACCGCAUGAAUAAGGACCGGCUAAUUCCGUGCCAGCAGCCGCGGUAAUACGGAAGGUCCGGGCGUUAUCCGGAUUUAUUGGGUUUAAAGGGAGCGUAGGCCGCCCCUUAAGCGUGUUGUGAAAUGCGGGUGCUCAACAUCCGACUUGCAGCGCGAACUGGGGGGCUUGAGUGCGCCGAAAGUAGGCGGAAUUCGUGGUGUAGCGGUGAAAUGCUUAGAUAUCACGAAGAACUCCGAUUGCGAAGGCAGCUUACUGUAGCGCAACUGACGCUGAUGCUCGAAAGCGUGGGUAUCGAACAGGAUUAGAUACCCUGGUAGUCCACGCGGUAAACGAUGGAUGCUCGUUGUCGGCCUUUAUGGUCGGUGACCAAGCGAAAGCGUUAAGCAUCCCACCUGGGGAGUACGCCGGCAACGGUGAAACUCAAAGGAAUUGACGGGGGCCCG
rnacentral:rRNA from 1 species